rnacentral:rRNA from 1 species
UACGUAGGGCGCAAGCGUUAUCCGGAAUUAUUGGGCGUAAAGAGCUCGUAGGCGGUUUGUCGCGUCGGCCGUGAAAACUUGGGGCUUAACUCUGAGCGUGCGGUCGAUACGGGCAUCACUUGAGUUCGGCAGGGGAGACUGGAAUUCCUGGUGUAGCGGUGAAAUGCGCAGAUAUCAGGAGGAACACCGGUGGCGAAGGCGGGUCUCUGGGCCGAUACUGACGCUGAGGAGCGAAAGCAUGGGGAGCGAACAGG